rnacentral:rRNA from 1 species
CCUACGGGAGGCAGCAGUGAGGAAUAUUGGUCAAUGGGCGGGAGCCUGAACCCGCCAAGCCGCGUGAGGGAAGAAGGUACAGCGUAUCGUAAACCUCUUUUGUCAGGGAACAAAGGCGGGGACUAGUCCCCGGAUGAGGGUACCUGAAGAAAAAGCAUCGGCUAACUACGUGCCAGCAGCCGCGGUAAUACGGAGGAUGCGAGCGUUAUCCGGAUUGAUUGGGUUUAAAGGGUGCGCAGGCGGCCUGUUAAGUCAGCGGUAAAAGCCCGGGGCUCAACCCCGGCGAGCCGUUGAAACUGGCGGGCUGGAGUUGGAGAGAAGUACGCGGAAUGCGCGGUGUAGCGGUGAAAUGCUUAGAUAUCGCGCAGAACCCCGAUUGCGAAGGCAGCGUACCGGCUCCACACUGACGCUGAGGCACGAAAGCGUGGAUAUCGAACAGGAUUAGAUACCCUUGUAGUC